AGCAUGCGCAUAAUUAUGCGCAUGCGCAGAAGCUCUACGUGUUUUACGACAGUUUACGACCCUACCUGAUCUGUUCUACGCAUGCGCGACAACCGGAGUUUAAAAAUAGUGAAGAAAUGCGUCAUAUAACAACACCGGCGAACAUAUGGAGGCUAAGUAAUUUGUAUAAAGGACCAACAUGGACCAGUAUUUAUUUCAUGCUGCCCUUCGGCAGUACCUACUAAGUGGGAUGUCGAUGUCGCGGUUGACUGGAAGAGAGUCAUGCAGGUGGCCAACCACUUCGUUGUAGAUGAUUUGUCCAUGCUGAUGGCCAUGCAGCAUAGUUGAAGCAGACCUGUCAGAAAACAUCUCUAAGGUGCUAUGAAUCCAAUGACUAGAUACGCAUCCUUAAAUUACUAGAGGUUACGGAAGCUCCUUUUUGGAUCCAGCUUCAUUUGUGAAGACUUCAGAUGAUGCCAACACUCACAGAGACUUAAGACGAUGGCAACAAUAGAUGAAGCAACACUCACAAAGACUUUAGAUGAUGGCAACUAUAGAUGGACAUACAAAAUUGCCAAAUAUAAUAUUGUAAUUACUGCCCCAAAGCGCAAGUUUGCAGAUUUUUAACCCACUUUAUAUUGUUACAAAUACAAUAGAUGCUAACAUUUGAACAGAAAAUGUUUCCUCUUUAUUCUUGAGUUAAUUGUGCUGAUUUAUUCCCUUUUUUUUAAUCCACAGUACUUUGCCAAAAUUAUGUUUUGCAUCAUCCAAAUGGUUCAUUUACAAAUUACAGACAUUGUAACAACACAAAGUGGGUUGAAAUUCUGCCAACUUACCCUAUAAUAAUAAUAAUUGUCUUUUAACUGAACAUGACUUUAAACACAUGACUUGUAUUAUCUUAGAGCUAUUGUGAUAUUAAUAUUGUUUUGUUUCCAGAAUAUUCUCCUCAGUGAGUCACUGUUACCUCGGACUGAUUAAGGGAUUUUUUGUAACCUUGAAACAUGCAUUGGUUUUACAAUGGUCAAACGGCAGAUCUUAUUUCAAGGUUUUGUGACCAUGGUUCUACUACAGUAACAAUAUUGAAAUGCUGGAAUGAAACUGUGGUAACCAUAUUAUUUUAAAUCAUGGUAAAUUUGUGGUUACUAAAAUGCACUACUAUAUGUUGGUUUAAGAGCAUGAUUAUUUUUUAUGUAUUAAUAAACCAUGGUUGAUUUUAUAUUUACCGUGGUUUUACUGCAAAUUAUGGUAAAAAAUUAUAGAAAACUUUUGCAUGGAGACAGAAAAAAAGUGUAAACUGAAUGUUUCUAUUCGUAAGUCACGUUGGUUAAAUGCAUCUGAUAAAUGUAAAUGGAUUUGUAUAUUUAUUCUGUUUACUGAAACUAAUAAAUUUGCAGUUGCUAUUGUU